rnacentral:misc_RNA from 1 species
GACCAGCCCGCCGAAACGGGGAAAUUAAUUUUUGAAAUUUUUGAAAAAAAAGAGAAAGAAUUUUCGAAAAUGUAUCGAAGUGAAAGCAAGCCGUGUUUCUACAGUACUUUGUGAUAUCGAACAUUUUUCAAAUGUUUUGUGAACAAAAUUAAAUAUUAAUGGACGUUGUGUGGUGGCAUUGGUCGCGAAUAAAUUAAAAAUCAUUUAUUUAUUACACACGUCCGCAGUGCGGAUCAAAACAAAAUCGGAAUCGGAAGCCAGGAGAGUGAAAGGAGAGAGAGAGUGAAAGAGGCCGCCGAAAGAGAGUGCGAAAAAUAGUGACAAAGAGGAACAGCUGCCGGCUGAUUUGUUGUGGAAAGGAAGAAAGAAACAACAAGUAAAACAUAUACUAAACCACAAAGAGAAGUAACCAAAAAAAAAAGAGUAAAUCAUAGCCAGACAGAAGGACAGAAGAAACUGCCUGAAGAAAAAGGAUAAUAGGAAGUAGUAUGCCAGAGCUGCAGAGAUCGCAAUGAGCAACCUUACGGAACAGGACUACGACAGUGCCACGCCGGCACUGGAACAGCAAAUGAAUCUGGCCAGGCGAGCCUGCUGGAGAAGCGGCAAGGACCUCCCCACGACAGCCAGUCCUAAUCCUGCAAAACCACCGAGUGAUGAAAGCAAAACAAAAAUAGAACCAGAAACUAAAGCCAGAGUUACGAAAGCAACCUGCAAUGCCAGCCCGAGUGGGCUCUUCGGUAAACGGGCCGUCCUGCUCCUGGCGCUGUGCCUCCUCCUUGGCCUCUCCCAGGGGAGACCGAACAUGAGUGUGACUCCUGGCAAGGACAGUGGUCUGGAUGCGGGUGCGGUCACCCAGCUAAAUCUGGCCCAGCCACCGCCGACUGCCGACGUUGCCAAGGAUGGUGAUGAGCCCACGGAACACCCAUCCCACAGACUGCCACGUGCCGAGCCGCUCAAGUCCAAUGAACAGAAUCCCACAGACGAGGAGGAGGGUGGCCACAAAAUGGAAAGGUAUCCGCUCUCCAGCGUGGAUUUUGGCCGUGUUAAGACGCCGUUCAUCAUCGGAAUCUGGAUCCUGUCGGCCAGUAUAGCCAAGAUUGGAUUCCAUAUGACGCCCAAAUUGCAUCUAAUAUUUCCGGAGUCGUGCCUGCUGAUUGUCGUGGGUGUGGUCAUUGGUGUAGUUUUAUAUUUCUGCACCGAUGUCGCCGUAUCCCCCCUAACACCGAACACAUUCUUCUUCUAUAUGCUGCCGCCGAUUAUCCUGGACGCCGGUUACUUUAUGCCCAAUCGAUUGUUCUUCGACAACCUGGGCACCAUUCUGCUGAUGGCGGUGGUCGGAACCAUCUUCAAUAUUGCCACCAUUGGGGGUUCCCUCUACGCCUGCGGCCUGUUUGGCAUUUACGGGGAGGGCGAGACUCCGGGCCUGAUGGACGUCUUUCUGUUCGCCUCCCUUAUAUCCGCCGUAGAUCCGGUGGCUGUGCUGGCCGUGUUCGAGGAGAUUCAUGUCAACGAGAUCCUGUACAUUGUUGUUUUUGGCGAGUCCUUGCUAAACGAUGCCGUUACUGUUGUCAUGUACCACAUGAUGGAGUCCUACAACGAGAUUGGCCUAGACAAGAUAAUUGCCCAGGACAUAGCCAGUGGAGUGGGUUCCUUCUUUGUGGUUGCCCUAGGAGGCACUGCCAUAGGCAUCAUCUGGGGUUUCCUCACUGGUCUAGUCACUCGGUUUACGGAUCAUGUUCGUGUCAUAGAACCUAUUUUCAUUUUUGUAAUGGCCUAUCUGGCCUACCUCAAUGCGGAAAUCUUUCACAUGAGCGGUAUCUUGGCCAUCACAUUCUGUGGCAUCACAAUGAAAAACUAUGUGGAAUCGAAUAUAUCCCAAAAGUCCCACACGACUGUUAAAUAUGCCUUGAAAAUGCUGUCCAGUUCGGCGGAGACCAUUAUCUUUAUGUUCCUAGGCGUGGCCACGGUGAACAAUAUGCACGUAUGGAAUACGUGGUUUGUGGUGCUGACCAUCGCCUUCUGUUCAGUGUUUCGUGUGAUAGGAGUAAUUCUACUGUCGGCCAUUGCCAAUCGCUUCCGCUUGCACAAGUUGUCGCGAGUGGAUCAGUUUGUGAUGUCCUAUGGUGGAUUGCGUGGUGCUGUUGCCUUCGCCUUGGUCCUGUUGGUGGAUGAGAAUGUGGUCAAGCAGAAGAACAUGUUUGUUACCACCACAAUAGCUGUGAUCUACUUUACUGUCUUCCUGCAAGGCAUCACCAUCAAGCCGCUGGUGAAGAUCCUGAAUGUGAAGCGAGCCAAUAAACGCAAGCCCACCAUGAACGAGCGUAUUCACGAAAGAUUCAUGGAUCACUUGAUGGCCGGCAUUGAAGAUAUUGUGGGCAAGACAGGCAACUACAAUGUGCGUGAUAAAUUCAAGCGUUUCGACAAUCGCUUCAUUCGCCCUCUGCUGAUCAGAGAUCUAAAGGGCGCUGAGCCGAAGAUCAUCGAGACGUACUCCAAACUGACAAUGCGCGAUGCCAUGGAGGUGAUGAGACGAAAUCCAUCGACCAUUGGCCAGAUGACGGGCACCGAGUCGAUGAGCGCCCUGUUCCGGAAUUAUACCAAUAACUAUAUUGGCGGCAGUCCCAGCUUGACAAAUCUUGACAAUACUUGUUCCCGCAAUCUGGAUAUGGCCGAGCUUGAUUAUAAUCCAUCCAAAAAGGAUCUGACUGAUGCCAAGAUCCAUCAUCUCUUGGCCGAAGAACUAAAGCCUUAUAGAAGGCACCGUCGUCUUAGUUAUAGCCGACACGCAGUAGAUGACAGAGAUUUGUCCACCCAGGUCAAUUAUAAGAUGCAAAUGAACUUCCGGCGAAUGUUCAAUGAUCGGAAACAUCACAAGCGCAGCAAACGUGGUGCCAGCAAUAAGGAGCCCAAGGAGAAUGUCAAACAAAAUCAUGUCUCUUUCCAUGAUUUUCAACAGAACGGCACCACCAAGCAGCUCACCAAUGCCGAGGAGUGCCAACAGAACCCCAACGAGAUCAAUGUUGUUGGCCCCAGCGACGAUUGGGAUGACGGCCUGACCUUCACCGCCAAAUCAUCACCUGACUCGGAUCGCGCCAAUAACAAUUCCCUGAUAGCCCACAUCCAAAACCUUCCCGGUUUUGAUGCCUCCAAGGCCCGCAUCGUCGUCCAGCACUAUGCGCCCAAGGUGGACGACAGUCCGGAGCCAGAGUUAGACUCCCCGGAUCCGCCCGUCGGGCCAACGGCGGCCGAGUUGAUAUUGCCUUGGCGGCGGGACCGAUCAUACCAGAGCAUUGUGGCUGAACAUCCGAUACCCGAGGAGGAUCGCAACCUUUCGCGUGAAUCUGAUGGCGAAAGGCGAGUGGCCACACCCACUGCCACGGAAUCCCAGCUGCCGUGGAAACGCCAGGGCGACGAGUGUACGGAUGCAGUGCAGCAGAACGAGUUUCCCGCCUGGGCCUCGAACAAGGAGUACUUGGCCUACAACUCCCCCAGUGCAACAUUCCUAGGUGGUAUAAACAAGCCUAAACAGCCCAAGUCCGUCAUAGGUCUCUUCCGGCGUGAGAGUUCCAGCUCCAAGGCCGGCAGCACCGGAAUCGGCAGUACGGGUACCGUGGAUGGCGCCGCCAGCAGCGCAGAUCCCAUGGUUGUGCCUUCCUCCCAAGCCAUCCAACCGCCGGCGGUGGGUGGCGGACCGGGUCCGUCGACAUCGAUGCAAAAUCCCCGGCUGGACAAGCGCUCCCAGUCGAUAUCAUCCGGUUCGCUGGGCGCCGGAGCCCAUCAACUCGGACCGGAUGGCCAUUCCGGUCCAUUUCCGGUUACGGCUAGUCAUCGGCGGAAUGUGCGCAGAGGCUCCAUGCUGGAGCUGAGCGGCGGCAUCUCAAUUGAGUCUGAUUAGCACAAAACCGUAACCGUAACGAGGCCAGGGCCAGAAACCAAGCCACUAAGCUAAAACUAUCCGCUAAAAUGCACAAACACACCCAUACAUGCACACACGCACACAAAUGCACACAGACACCAAAACUGUUAUACAGUUAAGCACCUGUGCUUAUGUAACUCUUCCGCUAAGCACAAAUUACUAUAUCUAAACGAAAUGUGUUUCCUAAAAUGGCUUCAGACACACACACACAAACAAUGUUGACACAAUACCCGAGGAGUCGUCGUACCAGCAUGGCCACUCCAAGUCCCUCUGCGAGCCGGCGGAUUCGGAUGACUGGGAUGGAGC